AGAAAGAAACCAAAACCUCAAGGAAAAUCGAUGGAAAAGACAGAGGAAGCAGAGGGUUCCCUUUACAGCACUCUUCAAAAAACAGAUGAUGCAGUCUACUCAACCAUCACAAACAGACAACAAGCAGAGGAUGGACUGCAGCAAGUGUAUGGUAACACGCUUCAAACGUUUGCAAACAGAGCAGCAGACUGAUUAAACCAUCUACACAGUGAUUAAUGAAAAUGAUCAAAUAUUAGGGUGAGGGAGUUGAGAAAU